UGGGGAAUAUUGGACAAUGGGCGGAAGCCUGAUCCAGCAACGCCGCGUGAGGGAUGACGGCCUUCGGGUUGCAAACCUCUUUCAGUACCGACGAAGCGGAAGUGACGGUAGGUACAGAAGAAGCACCGGCCAACUACGUGCCAGCAGCCGCGGUAAUACGUAGGGUGCGAGCGUUGUCCGGAAUUAUUGGGCGUAAAGGGCUCGUAGGCGGUUUGUCGCGUCGGGAGUGAAAACACUGGGCUUAACUCAGUGCUUGCUUCCGAUACGGGCAGACUAGAGGCAUGCAGGGGAGAACGGAAUUCCUGGUGUAGCGGUGAAAUGCGCAGAUAUCAGGAGGAACACCGGUGGCGAAGGCGGUUCUCUGGGCAUGUCCUGACGCUGAGGAGCGAAAGUGUGGGGAGCGAACAGGAUUAGAUACCCUGGUAGUCCACAACCGUAAACGUUGGGCGCUAGGUGUGGGGCCUAUUCCAUGGGUUCCGUGCCGCAGCUAACACAUUAAGCGCCCCGCCUGGGGAGUACGGCCGCAAGGCUAAAAACUCAAAUGAAUUG
rnacentral:rRNA from 1 species